rnacentral:misc_RNA from 1 species
CAACAUAUGAAGGUGGGUGUAGGCAACAGUUACUCUGCUGAAUCUCUUUCACCCAUGUCUUUUGAGUACCUUUCGUUUCCUCGGGCGGGUCCGCUCGCCACAUUGGACCCACAUUAAACCAUUUGCUGUUUUGCAAUCAGCGUCAGUACAAUAACUUGAAUUAUUA